rnacentral:rRNA from 1 species
GCGGCAGGCCUUACACACGCAAGUCGAACGGUAACAGGGCGGCGGACGCGGAGGAGCGGGGAACGGGGGAGAAAAACAUCGGAAAGCGCCCGAUCGAGGGGGAUAACGCACCGAAAGCUGUGGAAAUACCGCAUACGAUCUACGGAUGAAAGCGGGGGAUCUUCGGACCUCGCGCGGACGGGGCGGGCCGAUGGCAGAUUAUGUAGUGGGUGGGAUAAAAGCUUACCAAGCCGACAAUCUGUAGCUGGUCUGAGAGGACGACCAGCCACACUGGGACUGAGACACGGCCCACACUCCUACGGGAGGCAGCAGUGGGGAAUUUUGGACAAUGGGGGAAACCCUGAUCCAGCCAUGCCGCGUGCGGGAUGAAAGCCUUCGGGUUGUAAACUGCUUUUGUACGGAACGAAAAGGUCUUUUUUAAUAAACAAGGCUGAUGACGGUACCGUAAAAAUAAACACCGGCUAACUACGUGCCAGCAGCCGCGGUAAUACGUAUGGUGCGAGCGUUUAUCGGAAUUACUGGGCGUAAAAGCGUGCGCAGGCGGUUAUGCAAGACAGAUGUGAAAUCCCCGGGCUCAACCUGGGAACUGCAUUAUUGACUGCAUAUCUAGAGUGCGGCAAAAGGGGGAUGGAAUUUCCCGUGGUAGCAGUGAAAUGCGUAGAUAUGCGGAGGAACACCAUGGAAAGGAAUCCCCCUGGGCCUGCACUGACCUCAUGCACGAAAGCGUGGGGAGCAAACAGGAUUAGAUACCCCUGGUAGUCCACGCCCUUAAACGAUGUCACCUGGUUGUUGGGAAUUUAUUUUCUCAGUAACGAAGCUAACGCGUGAAGUUGACCGCCUGGGGAGUACGGCCGCAAGGUUAAAAUUCAAAAGAAAUUGACGGGGACCCGCCCCAAGCGGUGGAUGAUGUGGUUUAAUUAGAUGCAAGGGGAAAAAACUUUCCCCCCCUUUGACAUGUACGGAAGAUCGCAGAGACGGGAUUGUGCUCGAAAGAGAGCGGUAACACAGGUGGUGCAUGGCUGUCGUCGGCUCGUGUCGUGAGAUGUUGGGUUAAUUCCCGCAACGAGCGCAACCCUCCCCAUUAGUUGGUACAUUUAGUUGGGCACUCUAAGGGGACUGCCGGUGACAAAACCGGAGGAAGGUGGGGAUGACGUCAAAGUCCUCAUGGCCCUUAUAGGUGGGGCUACACACGUCAUACAAAUGGUUGGUACAAAAGGGUUGCCAACCCGCGAGGGGGAGCCAAUCCCAAAUGCCAGUCGUAGUCCGGAUCGCAGUCUGC